UCCAACCGGACCCAUAAUAUAAAGGAAACAGCAGCCUUCUUCUUCCUCAUUAGUUGCUGCAACGCCAAAACAGAAUUGGAGGAAAGGGAGAGAAGCUCUCAAACCCUAACCCUUUGAUCCACCAUAACUCCUCCGUCCGGGCUCCGAUCGCCGCACCGUUCACGGCCACGCGCUCAGCGCGUCAAGUUCUACCUUUCUAUCCGAAUAAUUUCACUAGUUCAAGUUAGCUUCCGGAACUUGUGGGCUCAAUCUAUUGAGCAUAUGGGUGUGGUGUAGUUUAAGAGGGUGUUUAUGCAUUGGACUUGAAUUUGGAUUACUUGGAGCUUUGUUGGUGACAAGGCUUGCUUUUGGGCUGUUUGAUUGAGCUUGGAGGGGCUGUGAUUUUUGUAUUGAGAGGCUGUCUUGGGUGAAUUAAGUGAUCGGCCAAGGUAUGGUUUAAGUUUCGCACGUUUAAUAUUUACGGUGUUGUGAAAACUUAGGUUAGAGGAACCAUAGAAUAAGUUGGAUUGUUUGUUGUAUUUAAUGAUUAGACUUGUAAUGUUGUUAGAAUAGAUUUGUUAGUAAAUUUAUGUAUUAGAAUUAUGAGGUGUGAAAGUUAUUAAUGGUGUGCUCUUAUAUUUAUUUAUGGUGGAUUAGAAUUGGUGUUUGUUAAUAAGGAUGUAGAGUUGUGUUGUGGUGGUAUUGUAUAUGCUGUAACUAAUUAUGUAAUGAUCGAAAUUGCAUGAGACCAAGUUUGAGCUAAACUUGGGAAUAUAAGGAACUAAAUUGGAAAAUUUGGGACUUUUUUGUUAAAUAUAUAAUUUAUGGCAAAUUUUUAAAGUUAGGUUGUUAAAUCUGUCCAGCAGCAGAAAAGAUCAAACAGGGCAGCAACUUGUUUGUCUUGCUGCGACUUCUACGAGUUGAGUUUUGGAGCGAAACCAAAUUUUUUAUAAAAUUUGAUUAACUUGCUUUAUUUCUCUGAAAUUUCAGAAUUUUAAGAGUUGAGGAUUGGGAGCUGUGAAUUUUUGAAUAUUGGUGGUCAAAACUGAAAAGAAACAGAUUUCAGCAAGCUAUGCAUCAACUUCCAAUGCUUGUAACUCUUAGAAUUAAAUAGAAAUUGUGUUGCAACCAAGACACACUUGUUUCUGGAUGAGCUAGGGGUUCUCAAAUCAAAAUUUAGCUUAAUUGGAGUUUUGUAAUAAAAGUUAUUCCAAUUGAAAGGUACUAAGCUUGUUGGUUUUUAAAACA